ACAUACGGCCACAGAUCGAGGAAAACAGAGGAUCCCGUCCGCUCUCCUGCGCUUAAGCUUUGAAUCGGUAGAUCAGUAGUUAGGUGGGUGACCACUAGCGAAUACCUACUGCUGUAUGUU
rfam:Coniosporium apollinis CBS 100218 chromosome Tnknown supercont1.97, whole genome shotgun sequence.